GAUGAACGCUGGCGGCGUGCCUAAUACAUGCAAGUCGAGCUAACAGACGAGGAGCUUGCUCCUCUGACGUUAGCGGCGGACGGGUGAGUAACACGUGGAUAACCUACCUAUAAGACUGGGAUAACUUCGGGAAACCGGAGCUAAUACCGGAUAAUAUAUUGAACCGCAUGGUUCAAUAGUGAAAGACGGUUUUGCUGUCACUUAUAGAUGGAUCCGCGCCGCAUUAGCUAGUUGGUAAGGUAACGGCUUACCAAGGCGACGAUGCGUAGCCGACCUGAGAGGGUGAUCGGCCACACUGGAACUGAGACACGGUCCAGACUCCUACGGGAGGCAGCAGUAGGGAAUCUUCCGCAGUGGGCGAAAGCCUGACGGAGCAACGCCGCGUGAGUGAUGAAGGUCUUCGGAUCGUAAAACUCUGUUAUUAGGGAAGAACAAAUGUGUAAGUAACUAUGCACGUCUUGACGGUACCUAAUCAGAAAGCCACGGCUAACUACGUG
rnacentral:rRNA from 1 species